CCUACGAGUGGCUGCAGUGAGGAAUAUUGGUCAAUGGCCGUAAGGCUGAACCAGCCAAGUCGCGUGAAGGAAGAAGGAUCUAUGGUUUGUAAACUUCUUGUAUAGGGGGAUAAAGGUAUCCACGUGUGGAUAUUUGCAUGUACCCUAUGAAUAAGCGUCGGCUAACUCCGUGCCAGCAGCCGCGGUAAUACGGAGGAUGCGAGCGUUGUCCGGAUUUAUUGGGUUUAAAGGGUGCGUAGGUUGUUUUUUAAGUCAGCGGUGAAAGUUUGUGGCUCAACCAUAAAAUUGCAGUUGAAACUGGAAGACUAGAGUGUGUUUGAGGGAGGCGGAAUGCGUGGUGUAGCGGUGAAAUGCAUAGAUAUCACGCAGAACUCCGAUUGCGAAGGCAGCUUACUAAGCAAUAACUGACACUGAAGUACGAAAGCGUGGGGAUCAAACAGGAUUAGAUACCCGUGUAGUC
rnacentral:rRNA from 1 species